GCUAGGCAACAGUGGGCAGUCCCAACCUUAAGGGAGGGGCGCAUGACCUCGGGGAAAUAUGCAGGGCAUGAAGAAACAGAAACUUAACUAAUACUUAAGACGGCUGCUAACAUACAAUUGAGGGACUUCCCAAUACUGUAUUGACCACAUGGUGAUGUUAAAACAAAAGCGAGUGUAGAUUUCUGUAGUCUGGAAACAAAAUAAUAUGGAACAUCUUGUAGAGCUGCUAUCUGAGAGUCCCUCUUACUUUCUCAGAUGUUGCUUGCUUUGCAUUGUGGUCAGAGGAGAAAAAGAAGAAAUUUUAACAACUCUGGAUAUUUCAUUCAAGUUUGUGAGAUAUUCGCUCAGUAUUGUUUUUGUGCAAAUGACUGGAUGGCUUUGAAACGCAAAGGGGGAUAAGGAUCUCUGCCACUCUCUUUUUCCACUUAGGUAUAAAAUUCUAGGAUUUUCCAGUUUUACUGAUUUAGGUUGUUGUUACUGUCUGUUUGGUUAUUUAUUUAUUUUAAUUUUUG
rnacentral:lncRNA from 1 species